rnacentral:rRNA from 1 species
UACGUAGGGGGCAAGCGUUGUCCGGAUUUAUUGGGCGUAAAGAGCGUGUAGGCGGCCAGACAGGUCCGUUGUGAAAACUCGAGGCUCAACCUCGAGACGCCGAUGGAAACCGUCUGGCUGGAGUCCGGAAGAGGAGAGUGGAAUUCCUGGUGUAGCGGUGAAAUGCGCAGAUAUCAGGAAGAACACCCGUGGCUAAGGCGGCUCUCUAGUACGGUACUGACGCUGAGACGCGAAAGCGUGGGGAGCGAACAGG